rnacentral:tRNA from 1 species
GCCGGGGUAGCUCAGUCGGUAGAGCGGCGGAUCGAAAAUCCGCGCGGCGGUGGUUCGAACCCAUCCCCCGGCACCA